GGUGCUUGCAUCAUGAUUUACAUUUGAGUGAGUGGCGAACUGGUGAGUAACACGUGGGAAACCUGCCCAGAAGCGGGGGAUAACACCUGGAAACAGAUGCUAAUACCGCAUAACAACUUGGACCGCAUGGUCCGAGUUUGAAAGAUGGCUUCGGCUAUCACUUUUGGAUGGUCCCGCGGCGUAUUAGCUAGAUGGUGGGGUAACGGCUCACCAUGGCAAUGAUACGUAGCCGACCUGAGAGGGUAAUCGGCCACAUUGGGACUGAGACACGGCCCAAACUCCUACGGGAGGCAGCAGUAGGGAAUCUUCCACAAUGGACGAAAGUCUGAUGGAGCAACGCCGCGUGAGUGAAGAAGGGUUUCGGCUCGUAAAACUCUGUUGUUAAAGAAGAACAUAUCUGAGAGUAACUGUUCAGGUAUUGACGGUAUUUAACCAGAAAGCCACGGCUAACUACGUGCCAGCAGCCGCGGUAAUACGUAGGUGGCAAGCGUUGUCCGGAUUUAUUGGGCGUAAAGCGAGCGCAGGCGGUUUUUUAAGUCUGAUGUGAAAGCCUUCGGCUCAACCGAAGAAGUGCAUCGGAAACUGGGAAACUUGAGUGCAGAAAAGGACAGUGGAACUCCAUGUGUAGCGGUGAAAUGCGUAGAUAUAUGGAAGAACACCAGUGGCGAAAGCGGCUGUCUGGUCUGUAACUGACGCUAAGGCUCGAAAGUAUGGGUAGCAGACAUGAUUAGAUACCCUGCUAGUCCAUACCGUAAACGAUGAAUGCUAAGUGUUCGGUGGGGGUCCGCCCCUUCCCCC
rnacentral:rRNA from 1 species